rnacentral:misc_RNA from 1 species
CAAAUUAAAAAAAAAAAAUGCAUGUAUAGUUAUUGUUAGGCCAAAGAAAAAAUGGGUGGGAGUCAUUUUCUUGCUUUCAAUAGAUGGGUUUUCUUUUCCGGUGGGUAGUUGCUUUCACAUACAGCAAGCUUAAUAGUCAAAAGCACAUACACAAGGUGUUUGAGUACAGGCUUGGCAAAGUAUAGUGACAAAAAAGGAAGGCCGUGUUUAUAAUUAUUGACUUUUUUAGAGACUUUGUUUUGAGGAUCUCUAGCUGCUGCAUGCUAUGGUUAGCUCAAGAACAAUCAAGCCAAU